ACCUUCUGAGUGUUUCUGUUUAGGUAUACGCAUUCACUUGUAGUAAGACUGAUGACUAGAUGUGAACCUGUAACAAUUGAAGAAUUACAACAAGUAGGGGUGAACAUACAUUUAAAAAAGACAAGUUGCGAAAGAGCAUGUGAUUUCAAAAACAUGACAUGAAUAAGCACUGCAUUUGUACUUUUAAUCUUGUGCCUGUGCAUUUAUUUCAACAUAUCUGAAUAAGGCUUGUGCCUGUGCAUUUAUUUCAACACACUGAAAAAAAUGAUUAUGGCCCCAAUUAAAUGAAGCAUAAUUCAAUUUAGCUAGUUUUAAUUAUUUUAUUUAAGUUUUUGAUUUUAAUUAGUAUAUAUUAAUAGGUUUUAAGCGAAUUAUAUGUGCUUUAAAUCCAAGUCAUUAUAAUUUAUUAAAUUCAGUUUAAAAAAAUAGUUUGGUUCUUUGCGCAUGCGCACAAAUGCACAUUUUCCCUGGUGCUAAAAGGAGUUUCCAGUCAGGUUCACGGUGACGGUGGGAAAGGAAGACGGGAUAUUUCAGCCCCGGAGUUUUGCUCAGUCGGUCUAUUUGCACAGACAGUCAACAAGAUGACUUAUUGAAAGACCUGGAAAACAUCACCAUGGACAUAUGUGUAAUCAAAAAGAAAGAAGGUGUUCUUGGCGACUAUGACGAUAUUGGAGUCGUUGUUGGAGUGAUGAUUCUUCAGCAGCUCAAAUCUGUGGCACAAGCCUGCAUUGAUGCUGGGUACAAUCUAUGUGCUUAAUUUGGCGUACCCUAAAGAACUAAAAUACUACUUUUUUGAAAUUUUUUAGAAAUUCAUUAUGCAGAUGGAUUCUAAAGCUCUCCCCAAAAAUUCAAGGACUGAAAAACGUUUUAAAGGUGCAGUGUGUAAUUUUUAUCGUCAUCUAGUGGUGAGGUUGCGAGUUGCAACCAACGGCUUAGUCCACGGCUCACUUCUCGCUUUUGAAACACAUAGAGAAGGACAAACAUGUCAUCGUUGGAGACAACUUAGCAAAAAAUUGUCCUUUAAGGGCUUCUGUAAAAAAAUGGCAGCACAAAAUGGCGACUUCCAUGUAAGGGGACCCUCGGUGUAUGUAGAUGAAAAGGUCUUGUUCUAAGGCAAUAAACACAUAACGGUUCAUUAUGAAAGGUGUUUAUACACCCGUGAUAAUAUAGUUUUGUAUGUUAUUUUGCAUUUCUGUCAAAAGAUCCUCUUAAAAAUUUCACACUGCACCUUUAAUACUGAAAUGUUGUAGCAGACAUGUAUGUGCAUGCUCAGCAUGAAAUGUUAGUCCAGAUGUCACAGUCUACUCUGUUUAUCAUUUAAGACCUGGGAAUCCGUAGUUUUAAACAUUUUAAUAAUGCUUUUAAUGAUUCAUAACUGUUGUCUGUAAAAAUGUAACACUUUUUUUAAAAAUAAUUAUUGUGCAAUGUGUGAAGUCAGCACUACUGUUUUUGACUUUUGUGCUGUUUUAUUGAUUCACAAACAUUGUGGCCUCUUUCCAUCUGUGUUUUUUUAUUUUUUAUUUUGUGAAUGUGCAGUGAGCACUUGUUUUAAACACUUGUACACACAAAGAAAUUGUUAUUGAACAUGCACUACAUUUGCUGAAUAACAUUAAACUUACCACUUGGUGUAUUUGCAAAGCCA